rnacentral:rRNA from 1 species
GAGCGUCAUAGAGGGUGAGAAUCCCGUCUUUGACACGGACUACCAGUGCUUUGUGAUGCGCUCUCAAAGAGUCGAGUUGUUUGGGAAUGCAGCUCUAAAUGGGUGGUAAAUUCCAUCUAAAGCUAAAUAUUGGCGAGAGACCGAUAGCGAACAAGUACCGUGAGGGAAAGAUGAAAAGAACUUUGGAAAGAGAGUUAAACAGUACGUGAAAUUGUUGAAAGGGAAACGCUUGAAGUCAGUCGCGUUAGCUAGGAAUCAGCCUUGCUUUUGCUUGGUGUACUUCCUGGUUGACGGGUCAGCAUCAAUUUUGACCGGUGGAAAAAGGCCAGUUGAAUGUGGCACCUUCGGGUGUGUUAUAGCUUCUGGUCGUAUACAUCGGUUGGGAUUGAGGAACUCAGCACGCCGCAAGGUCGGGGUUCGCCCACGUUCGUGCUUAGGAUGCUGGCAUAAUGGCUUUAAUCGACCCGUCUUGAAACACGGACCAAGGAGUCUAACAUGCCUGCGAGUGUUUGGGUGGAAAACCCGAGCGCGUAAUGAAAGUGAAAGUUGAGAUCCCUGUCGUGGGGAGCAUCGACGCCCGGACCAGACCUUCUGUGACGGAUCCGCGGUAGAGCA